UUUUAUGUGCGGGUCUGUUGCCGAUACAUUCGCGAACCACCCCACCACCCCCCCUAGGUUUGGGAUCCGGUGGGAUAUUUUGUUCUCAUCGCGACCGUUAUAUCCCUACCAAACAAAACUCUUGAAGAAAUACAUGUACGCACGACGACGUUUUGAACACGACCAACGAUGAAAUCGCGAACAGGCCAGAAUCUACUCGGAAAAACGGAAAACCCGGUUAGUUUUUUCGCGUCGAUCGGGCCGAGAAAUUCAAAAAUGCCGUCUUUAAUAUCAUUCGACAUUUUCGUACCUAGCCGUCUGUAAUAUUUCCGUUUCGCGGAUCGGAAUCCAUAGAAUCGAACGGGCCCGCGAAAAUCCUAUAAAACUGCAACGUCAUUUUCCCGCGUGUCGACUGUCCGAAAUAAAUUCGCCGGCGAUCAACCCUCUCUCCC